GAAUAAGACUUUUUCAAAAUUUGGUGUCUUGUUUUUCAGAAAGGGGGCAACUAACUUUUUCUCCCAGAAUUAGUUUGAAUAAUGACACUUGACCAUCUCUUAGAUUCAGUGAUUGUAUGUUAUUCCUCUGCUCAAUUAUGUAUUCUUUGAAGCCAUUGUCUUUUCAGUAUGCUUAAUUUCCUUUAGGUACAUUAAAACCUGACUCAUUUGAAAGAUAAAACAGGCCAAGCUAAGUCAGUAUAAAGUUUAAAAGAAUUUGACUUUUAAAAUAUUGAAUCAACUUCUGACCUAAACUAGAGACAUAGGUGGACCUGCUUGAGUAUCUUGGUUUAUAUAGAAAAUGGUUUUUUUACAUGCUUUUUUUUUUUUUAACUUUCACUAUUCACAGGCUAAACUAAAAGCCUUUUCCUCAAAUACCAACUUUUGGCUAUUUUUGUUAAAUUAAUAGACCUAAAAUGUAUAAUCCAGAUUAAUGGUUUACAUUUAAUAACAGAUUGAACAUGUGUUUUCUUUUGUGAUUUAAUUUUAAAAGCAGGCCUGACUGAAUAUGGGACCUGUA
rnacentral:lncRNA from 1 species